rnacentral:rRNA from 1 species
UGGCGAACGGGUGAGUAAUGCAUCGGAACGUGCCCAAUCGUGGGGGAUAACGCAGCGAAAGCUGUGCUAAUACCGCAUACGAUCUAUGGAUGAAAGCGGGGGACCUUCGGGCCUCGCGCGAUUGGAGCGGCCGAUGUUAGAUUAGGUAGUUGGUGAGGUAAAGGCUCACCAAGCCUACGAUCUAUAGCUGGUCUGAGAGGACGACCAGCCACACUGGAACUGAGACACGGUCCAGACUCC